CGUUCCAGUAUUAGUCAAUGCUCGCAAGAGUGAACUAGCUAACUGAAAUCAUAGAAUUUUUUAAAAUUCAUGAUGUCGUAAGGGAAAAUAAUGAUAAUACCUUACUAUGAGUGUUGUCCAAAUCUGGUGCCAGAAGACUCGGUAAGACCAGAAACGCAAACGUUAAUCAUCAUAAACAGGCGUAAAGGGUUUGUAGGCAGCUUUUAUCAGAUUAUGCAUUUUAAAAUAAAGUAGUCUAAUUAAAAGCUAGAAUCAAAAAGAGGUUAUAGUGUAUAACGCCUAGAGGAGGGCUGAUAUCCAUAGAUCCUAGGCAGAAUACUAAGGGCGAAGGCCACUUUCCAUUAAUGAUUGACGCUGAGAAACGAAGGUUAGGGUAGGAAAUAGGAUUAGAUACCCCGGUACUCCUUUCUGUAAACGAUGAAUGGUAGUCAUUAGUUUUUUUCUUAGAAAAAAAAAAAUAACUAGAGACGAAGUUAACACAAUAACCAUUCCGCCUUGUGAGUACUACUGCAAAGUAGAAAACAAAAAAAUUAGUCGUCUCGAGCAAACGGAGUGAAGCAGGUUAUUUAACGA
rnacentral:rRNA from 1 species